UCUCCGUAGGUGAACCUGCGGAAGGAUCAUUAUUGUAUAACCGACUUGCGAGGGCUGUUGCUGAUCCGUAACGUCGUGUACGCCCGUGUGCCCCCACACACAUCCAGCGAACUCCUAUGUCCUCCACCGCGUGGGUCCCCCUUUGGGUUGUUCGGAGGGGGUCUUGCGUUUGCACACAAACUUUGUAUGCAGUAUAGAAUGUAUUUUUUGUUUUUGCGAUCGCGCAAACAAUACAACUCUCAACAACGGAUCUCUUGGCUCUC
rnacentral:misc_RNA from 1 species